rnacentral:rRNA from 1 species
UACGGGGGAGCAAGCGUUGUUCGGAUUUACUGGGCGUAAAGGGCGCGUAGGCGGCGUGACAAGUCACUUGUGAAAUCUCCGGGCUUAACUCGGAGCGGCCAAGUGAUACUGUCGUGCUAGAGUGCGGAAGGGGCUACUGGAAUUCUCGGUGUAGCGGUGAAAUGCGUAGAUAUCGAGAGGAACACCUGCGGCGAAGGCGGGUAGCUGGGCCGACACUGACGCUGAGGCGCGAAAGCUAGGGGAGCGAACGGG